rnacentral:rRNA from 1 species
CAGGCGUUAAUCGGAAUUACUGGGCGUAAAGCGUGCGCAGGCGGUUUCUUAAGUCAGAUGUGAAAGCCCCGGGCUUAACCUGGGAACUGCGUUUGAAACUGGGAGACUUGAGUGUGGCAGAGGGGGGUGGAAUUCCACGUGUAGCAGUGAAAUGCGUAGAUAUGUGGAGGAACACCGAUGGCGAAGGCAGCCCCCUGGGUUAACACUGACUCUCAUGCACGAAAGCGUGGGGAGCAAACAGG